rnacentral:rRNA from 1 species
GACGAACGCUGGCGGCGUGCCUAAUACAUGCAAGUAGAACGCUGAAGGAGGAGCUUGCUUCUCUGGAUGAGUUGCGAACGGGUGAGUAACGCGUAGGUAACCUGCCUGGUAGCGGGGGAUAACUAUUGGAAACGAUAGCUAAUACCGCAUAAUAUUGACUAUUGCAUGAUAGUCAGUUGAAAGGUGCAACUGCACCACUACCAGAUGGACCUGCGUUGUAUUAGCUAGUUGGUGGGGUAACGGCUCACCAAGGCGACGAUACAUAGCCGACCUGAGAGGGUGAUCGGCCACACUGGGACUGAGACACGGCCCAGACUCCUACGGGAGGCAGCAGUAGGGAAUCUUCGGCAAUGGACGGAAGGCUGACCGAGCAACGCCGCGUGAGUGAAGAAGGUUUUCGGAUCGUAAAGCUCUGUUGUAAGAGAAGAACGAGGGUGAGAGUGGAAAGCUCACACUGUGACGGUAUCUUACCAGAAAGGGACGGCUAACUACGUG